rnacentral:rRNA from 1 species
AGGGUUCGAUUCUGGCUCAGGAUGAACGCUGGCGGCGUGCUUAACACAUGCAAGUCGAACGGAGCCUAUCGAGUGCUUGCACUUGAGAAAGCUUAGUGGCGGACGGGUGAGUAACGCGUGGGUAACCUGCCCUAUACUGGGGGAUAACAGUUGGAAACGACUGCUAAUACCGCAUAAGCCUACAGUGCCGCAUGACACAGUAGGAAAAACUCCGGUGGUAUAGGAUGGACCCGCGUCUGAUUAGGUAGUUGGUGAGGUAACGGCUCACCAAGCCGACGAUCAGUAGCCGGACUGAGAGGUUGAACGGCCACAUUGGGACUGAGACACGGCCCAGACUCCUACGGGAGGCAGCAGUGGGGAAUAUUGCACAAUGGGCGAAAGCCUGAUGCAGCGAUGCCGCGUGAGGGAAGAAGGUUUUAGGAUUGUAAACCUCUGUCCUAUGGAAAGAUAAUGACGGUACCAUAGGAGGAAGCUCCGGCUAACUACGUGCCAGCCGCGGC